UUUCCUGCCUUUAUUAUCACUUCUUUCUCAGAUCUCUCUCUGCAUCUUAGUUCCUAUUCAUCAACAAGUGAAAACCCAAAUACUUUCUCAGUUCUCUCUCUGCAUCUCAGUUCCUAUUCCUAAAUAAAAAAUCUCAAUCUCGGGUUCUCAUCGUCUUCUCUUGUCUUUCUUAUACUCAGAUUCAUCAUUGAAACCCUCUAUGAAAACUCUGCACUUGUUUACAUCGAUUAAGAUUUGAAUCACCAGUUACAAUCUGAAAAUAUCGUUGGUAAUGCAAGAGCAGGAUCAAAUAAGUUUAAAUCAGAUGUUCUAUGACCUUUUAGAUUCAACUCAAGACUUUUAAUACGAGUUGUUGAAUCUUUUGAAUCUAACAAUUAAGCUACUGAAUAAGAUGUUGAAGGAGGAGAAAUUAGUAUUAUUACAGAUCAAAAUCUAAGAAGUUAAGAUAUCUAUCUGUAAAGGGAAUCCUAAAAAAGUCCAGUUUGGAUAGUGGUGAAAAGAUUAACAACUCCCAACAACUUCUAAGGAUAAGAAAUGGAGUAAAGUCAAGCUACAAUCUAUGUUGAUACCAUGUAUGAAUCCGAUCACCUGAGAAAGGGAAAGCGUUGUAUGGUAAUCAUGGAUUACAUGCUAACAAACUCGAGUGACACGGCAACUUGAAUGUUCAUUAACAUCUUUCAUACAAAUACAUAGGCUGAGCUUGUUGGGUGCUUAAUGGACCUUGAUUAGAGACAGUUUGUUAAUAAAUGAAGGCAUAGAUGGUGAAGUCUCUCCUUCACUUAGUGUAGAUUUUCUGGUUUGUUAGCUUGUAAUAGGAAUAAUUAAGUAGAUGAAGUUUCGAGAUUUGAAAAAAGUAUUUUAGACUGUUGGCGCUUUUUAAUACAAAUUUCGUUUUGAUUUUACUGUCAAUUUAGUUUUUUGAUCGGUGCAGCUUAAUCAGCUUUGAAAUAAAUUAAUUUUUUGAUCAAUAAAACUGUGAUGCAGUUGAAUCAGCUUAAUUUGGAUUCAGCUGGAUCACUUCCAAAAUUUUUUUUAUAAAAUAUGUUCAAUAUAAAAGUCUGUUUCUGUCGGCCCUAUUGAUUGACUGUCUAAGAUAGACGUUUUCUAAUAAAUUCCAGGGCUCCCAGAAACAGUGUUUUCGAGAAUUAAGACUACAACUUUAGGGUCCCCAGAAACACACUUUUUUAGCGAUUAUCAUACUGUUUCUGGUAGACUUAUUUUUCCAAUUUUCCACUAGUGGUCUAGACAUACCACAUCUAUAUCAGCUUUCUGUUUUCUUUUCGGGAACCUCUGGACAUCCAUAAAUGAAUUGGUUUUCAAAUAACAUCACACACCCCCGGACAACAUCCUGACACAGACCUUGAGGCAACAACAUGAAUUCGAAUGGGAAAAAAAAAAAAUUCCCCCUAGUUUUACAUGGCGUCCCCCCUAGGGCCUCCAACAAAUAUAAGAGCAACAACAACGAUAUUAGCAGGAUGGACCAGACCCGAACUGAAUUGGAUAAAGAUCAACACGGAUGGGGCUGCUAGGGGACAACCAGGAAUGACGGGAGCAGGUUUUAUUUGCAGGGAUUCGAGUGCUCAAACUGUGAUGGCCCUCGCGCAGCCUCUUGGAAUAAUUACAGCGUAAUAGCUGAAACAUGGGAAACUCUCCUGGCAUCAAGGACAGCAACUGAGAGACAUUAGCCAAAAGUUAUCUUUGAAAAGGAUUCGGAAAAUCUGAUGCGCUUCCUAAAAACGAAGACUGAAUGAAGCUCCAUGGUAUAUUGAAGAAAUGAUUGCCGAAAUAAAAAAGAGAAUGCAACAAACUCCUCAUUGUGAUAUACAACACAACUAUAUAGAAGGGAAUCAAGCAGCAGAUGAUCUGACAAACUAUGCAGCAAAUGGAAGUCAACUAAGAAACUUAUCAACAACAAUAUGGGACCAGGCAAUCCCACAGUUUA